GGAAGCAGAAACUACAGAAGCAGCGAAAUUAAAAAAAAAUUAACAUUAUCGAUUGUUCCCUUUAGGCCGAUUGUUUUACCUCAAAGAGUCAUCGCCAUAACCUACAUGACACUCAAAAAAUUCAGAUAUUGCAUGUCCCCUCAGGGAAUGACAGAAAAUGUACGAGAGCUUACAAUAAGCCUGUCAGCUAAAUCUGUUUUUGUUAGCUUCAGUAUGAGUUGAGCUAAGUUCACCAUCAUAAGUUGAUCUGGCAACUUUCCCAGUUUGGUUAUGUGCAAAAACUUACAGUAAAUGUAGACUUUGAACAAGAUUUUACAAGUCUUACUCAAUGGAUUAAGCAUUUCUGUUGACCAAACCAGAGGGGCUCCUGGAAAGACAAACCAAGACUGUUUUGGCCCAGAUCUCCCCUCAGAGCCCCACCGCCCCCAGUGCCAAACCACCGGCAGGACACGGCAGAGCGGCUGACAGAGGAAGGAAAGAGCGGUGAGUGAGUGUGUGUGAAAACACUGCGUGCCUCAGUGGUUUCGCCACAGACGUUCAUUGUGAUGCUUUUAAGUUUCUUACAAGCAAAGACUAUAAUUUGUGUUUUAAUAAAUGUGGAAAAAAAGGUGCUAAAGUUGGAGUUUUCCCCUCGUUUUCCAAUUGAAAUGUAUUGAACAGCUCACAGUUGGCUGGAAAUAAAAUCUCAGGACUGGAAAAUGGGCGUUAUUUCUUCCUUUAAGCUGCAGUUUGACCUCUAGGGGAAACACGCUUUUGGAUUCUUGCUGUACGAUAGAUAAGAACAUUAAUGCCACUCAUAUCUACCUGGUACAUAUAGGGUGAAAGCCCAGCAGCAGCUGGUUAGCUUAGCAAAAGACUGGACGUGAGGUAACAGUUAGCCUGUUGCUAUCUAAGGCUAACAAAUCCACCUACCAGAAGCUAGAAAGCUGACUAAUGAACGUGUUAAUUCUCAUCUAAUCUGUACAAAAACUAAAGAGUUUGUCAGCUGGUUACAUGCAGGACUAUUAUUAUACUGGUUUUAAGCUGAGACAACCCCCAGCCUUAUAUUUCACUGACACAAAUGAGUGGCAGUAAUCUUCUCAUCAAAACCUCAAUGAAGAAGUGAAAAAGUUUCCUUUUUUUUCUUUUACACAUUUUUAAACUUGACAAAACAAUUAUCAAUAUCAAUAAAUACAGUGGCUUUAUUUACACCAUGUCUUGUUAGGCUGUUAAAGAUGCACUAUGUCAUGUAAGGGAAUAAAUUCAAUCAGACGUCUUUAGUUAUUGAUUUUCCUUACUGAAUAAACUAAAUGAACCACCUUUAAAGUGGUUAAGCACUUUUCUGGGGAGCUUAUUUCCCUCUGAGGAAAGCUUGUUUAUUCAGUUAUAGAGUACCAUUCAUUGAAUGAACAUUUCUGGGUUUGUGUUAUUACCAUAUUAGUUUUGUAAAUAUUACUUUUCUCAGUUCCAAUUUAUUUUCCCAAACCACAUAGAGCACCUUAAAUCCUUAGCAGCUUCAAUGUUAUGAUGAAACAUAAUAUUACAACAGCAAAACAUUAAAUUGAAUUAGAAUAAACUACCACAUGACUAACGAUUGUAUGUGAUCAGAACAUGUUAAGGCAUCCGAUUCAGUCACUCUGAAUGAGCUUCGUUUUCCCCACAGGCAUGAACCGAGUAUAGUGAGCUCAGAGAAAGAGAAAGCUCACACUAACUCAACUGACAUUUAGAGUCUGUAAUUUGUUGAUAUUUGAGACUGUAUUUAUCUAUUUCUUUUGCAAACCACAGUUUGUCUUACUGUAGAGUCUCAGAUUUAAUCUCUUCCUCGUUCUCCAGCGGAGCACACUCGCCAUCACUUGGCUCUAAAAGGUUGAGAUUGGCCUGCACUGCCACCAGUUUCUGCGCCCUGUCUGCUGAGAUGGAACAUGGCAUCUUUGUGCUGCAAAAGCGUGACCGCACGCUCUCGCAGGCACCUGCUGUCGGUGGGAUCUGGAGUAUUGCGGAGGCCACGGCGGAUAGCGGCUCGGAGGAACACAGCCCUUUCCACCAGGUGGAUGCCGACACGUGCUGACAUGAGCUCCAAAUCCCGACCCCCUUCCACAGUCCCUCCUUGGCUGAGAACCUGGCAAAACUCCCGAGCACCUUACCAUCGUCGAGAUUUAGCUGGUGUGACAGGUUGGAUAUCACGUAGUAAGCGCCGUUUAUCUGCUCCCCGGAGAGCGUCUGCUGGCCGGCGUGCUUUGGAUCCAGCAUGUACGCCGCUGCGUGGAUGGGUUUCAUGCAAAACUCCUGACACCUGUCUAAUGACGCCAUGACUGCUUUCUGUUCGGCACUGUGCAGCACAGACUCGGACAGCGACGCUCCCACGUAAUGCCUUAACUGAAUGAACACAUCAACAACAUCAGAGAGUGUGCUCUCUUCUCUCUUCAUGUAACUAAUAUAAUUCCCGAUUGAGUACAGCAGGUUCUGACUGCUGCUCAACCCUUUCCAAAAUGCUGCGUCCUGUACUGUGGCCCUGAAGGAAGCCUCAACGUCCAGUGUGGGUGACACGGCCAUGUCUUGUAGAGCGUCCUGACCCUCCAGGAGGCUGUUGAGCAUGUUAAUCACGCCAGUCCAGUCAGAACAACUAUUCAGCACCAAGGUUGUCCCAGUAGUGCGGUGGUUUCUGGUCUUUGUGGUCUGCCAGCAUCUGAAAGUCUCCGCUAACAUUUUUUGCUCUGUCACAUACCUCACCACCUGCUCAGCUCUUGUGCACAGAUCUUUAACAGACGGCUGUGCGAGCACGUCAUCAAAGAGCCGCUGGACUCCACACGCUGUGCAGCCGAUAGUCGAUAUGUGCGGGAAGGCCUCCUCCACUUGACCCCAUGCUGCCGUCAUUUCCGGGGUGUCAUCAGUGACAACGGCGAAGACCUUCUGCGGCCCCACUUCAUUUAUGAUGUCUUUCAGUUCCUCCGUGAUAAAUGUGCUCUGGUGCAUCUGCUCUUUUGUGUUUGUGCAUUUGUAGAGCAGUGGUUCAGGAGUUGCAACAAUAUAAAUUAUAGUUCUGGUGUCUUUUGCUUUAGACCAGCCGCUGCUGCAAAUGAUAGUGACACAGGCAGCUUUCCCUACGGCCUCCUGAACCUGGCUUUGUACUCUGUCAUGCUCACAGUCCAAGAGGUGAGAGGACAAAGCCUCUCUGGUGGGCGGACAGUAAGCGGGUCGGAGCACGCUGAAAAAUCGUUUCCAGUAGAUAUUGUCCGUGAGCGUGAGAGGUGAGGACGUGGCAUACACAGCUCUCGCCAGGCACUCGUCAGCAUACGCCUGGCUGCGCUGAUCCACCGAAUCAAUGAGGAACUGUCCCCCCGGACUGGCAGAUGGUAAGAGGGAGAAGGAGGGGACAGGAAUGGAGGCAGAGGAGCUCCCAUCAGGUCCUGGUGACUGCUGCGAAGCCACAGAGUACUCCUCACACUUGUUCAAGUGUAUCUGCAUCUUAGUGGCAUUCUUCGUGUAUGUCUUCAAACAGUAGUUGCACAUGUAGGUUUCCUUCCCGUCUUUGAUUGCCGGGGUGAAAUGCUUCCAAACCCCAGACUGCAAGCGUGGCAUCGUCCUGUGAGAAGUCAAAUGGAGAAAAUAAAAAAUUAUAUCUGAAAUUAUA